GAUCAGCAGCGAUCUGAGAAAGCCAGAAGUUAAACAGCUGAUUGAUAAGCUGGAGGAGCGUUUCCGCAUAAACAGACGCGAACUGAUUCCUCUGGAGUUCCCGGUACUGGUUGCCUUGGAGAUGGGACUAUAUCUCCCCGAGAGCAAGGUCAUGCCGCACUACCGAAGGCUGGUACAGCAAGGUUAGACCGGACGUGGCGGAGUAGGACGUGCACACGUGCGGCGUGUCGACCAGUUUAUAAGCUGUGGUGUUUAAAAAUAAAUACUUGUGGUACUAUUUAUUGUCACUGUACAUUAAUUAGGUUACACUCAGACUUGAUGGCAUGUGUUUCUCUCCCUGAAUGUCUUUUUGUAGGUGUGACGUUCUCAUGUUGAUCCAGUCAUGAGCUCUAUGUUAGAGAUGUUCACUGAGCACAUUAAUGGUGCUUUUAUUUUGGUUUCUUGUGGGUUUUUAGGAUGCCACCGUGUUUUAACGUCUAUGUAAAGGUACGCUGUGAUGUGUGUGUGUGUGUGUGUGUGUGUGUGUGUGUGUGUGUGUUUGUGAAAAAGAAAAAACUCAUGUGCACCUUUCUUGUUACUAUACAGCCUGUAUAGUAUUUACUGUAAAAGACAUAUCGCUGAUUUCUUUUUUCUUUUUUGAAUGCCUUGUAAACCCACUGUGACACUGAAGCAUUUUUAGCAAUGAGCCUGAAACAUGACACUGUAGAUCGUAAGUGGGAAACAUCUUUUCGGGGAGAAGUGGCCUUUAAUUUGUUUACGUCCAUUCGAUAUUUGUACUGUAUGUCUCACAAUUAUCCAGCCAAACUCUCGUAUUUACCACAAAUAGUAAGAUAACAUCAGACUCCUGUGGCAGCUCUGUGUUCUGACUUUGGUGUUGGUCGUGCUUGUAUCCAGUAUUUCCACUGUGCUGUGGUGUCACAUGCAGAGAAACAGGAUGAUGGAAGUUUCUUAUUUAUAGUAAACAUUUUUUUUUCCUCUUGUUGUUUUUGUUUCGUGUCAUUACCCAGGGAUAUGUUUUGUAAAAUGCACUGGUUAGUUAUCUUUUAAUUCUCAGGAAUUCUUACUUUUUCUUUUCUUUUAUGGUGCAGUCACACUAUGGAAAAAGGGUUGGAACAAACUAUGUAAAAUGACCUUGAGAACGUUACGUCAAAGACAUUUUUCACGCUUGUAGCCACUCAGUUUCCGUCUUCAAAGAAACUUUGAGUUGCAAGCAGUCUGUUAGCAAAUGAAUGAUGUCAAUUACAUGCAAUCAGUUUGUGAUAAUGUGGGAAUUAACUGUGAUUAAAUUGGCAAAAAUCACAAAUCUGAUGCCAUCUGUUGGAUCUACACAAAAAUUCACACGAACUGUUUUUAAUUCAGAGUCCAGCCAGGAUCGUGUAGAUUUAAAGGAUGUGAUGUGCGUGUCCUGUUCCACUCACUGGUGCAAAAGGACUCUGCCAACAUGUUGCAAUCAGUCUGUGUGUUUACCAGUGAGACAGGAAUUAUUUGCAAACCUCGAGCGAGUCUAAAUUUAGAGACUUGCUUCUUUAGAAAAGGUGACCUGCAGUUGAAAGCGGUGGCCCAGAUGUUGAGGCUGUAGCGCGCCGAAUCUCUCUCCAAAAGUUGAACAUCGGAGGGUUGUCAACCUAUUUUACUCUAGUGUGACUGAGCCGUUAAUCUUUUGUAAAGUCAAACCCAAAGACGCCGUAGCGAUCAUCACUGGAAGAUUGUGGUGUUUUCAUUGUGACUCCAUGAAUAGAUGAACCGGACGGUAGAAACGCGUCAAAUUUGGACAAGUACAGACAAAAAGUGCCUGAAAUCACAGCGGCAGUGAAAUUGUUAAUGAUCGAAGUGACAUUUCUUUGUCUUUCUGUGGUUGAUCUUUAAAUGUUGGUCUUGUCUGGGAAAGAUAAUCCGUCUUCUUACUUAAUGGUGAUUCAGUUUAUUGUGUUUGCCUGAUGUGAUUAAAUUUAAAAAGUGUUCAAAAUAACCGAUGUGCAGAAAAUGUACGGUUCUUGUCGAAUUGUUGGAUAAUCAUUGUGUGUUUACACUGUUCUGUAAAAUGAAUGUUUUUAAAAUAUAUUUUAAGACACUGAAAAAUUAA